rnacentral:lncRNA from 1 species
UUGCUCCUUAGAUUGAUUUUGAUGAUCACAAAACAGUUGAAGGGGUACCAAUAAUUUUCAAUUGAAAAAGACCUAUUGCUCUUCGGGGGCAAAAUCAUAAUUUUACCAAAAUCCUGAUUUGAAAGUAUCAAAUGAUAGAACAAAAGAUUUGUGAUCCAUUGGUGAAAAUUUUAUUGUUUUUGGACUUGUAUUUUGAAAG